GACUUGGUGGCAGAAUGGUUAUGCGCCCGGGGUAGCAAUUCGGUACACGUCGGUUCGAUUCCGACCCAUGUCU
rnacentral:tRNA from 1 species